CACAGCAUAUGUAAGUUCCCAGGCUAGGGGUCAAAUCAGAGCUGUAGCCGCCAGCCUACAUGACAGCCACGGCAACUCGGAAUCCAGGCUGCAUGUGUGACCUACACCACAGCUCAUGGCAACGCUGGAUCCCUUAACUGAGCAAGGUCAGGGAUCAAACCCACAUCCUUAUGGAUAUUAGUUAGUUUCAUUACCAGUGAGCCACAAUGGGAACUCUCAGGAUUUUCUACAUAUAAUAUCAUGUCAUCUGAAGAGACAGUUUUACUUCUUCCUUUCCAACUUGGAUUCCUUUUAUUUCUUUUACCUCUGACUGCUCUGGCUAGGACUUCUAAAACUACGUUGAAUAAAAGUGAUGAGAGGAUAAUUUUCAUCUUUUUACUUUUCUAUAUAUAUCAACCUAACAUAUUCCUUUUACAAAAAAAAAAUGCUUGCAAUUUAUUAAAAGUAUAAAAAUGUUAAAUAAAAUUGGAAUGAGCACUAGAAAAUACCACUUUGGGAAAGGAUCUGUGUUAUUCUGAGUUGAUACAAAGGACUCUAAAAGUUUAAAAUGUUCUAAACCAAGCCUGACUUAAGAGCAUCAGCAGGCACAUACAGCUUACACAUACAGAAAGAAGAGAAUAAAUAAAUAUAUACCUUACCGUAUAGGAAUGAUUCUAUCAAAGAUUUAUCCUCCUUUUAAAUUUUUAGAUCUGAGAAUUGUUAUCUGUGUUCUUACUACUACAGAAGAACCAAGUGUUCUAGCGUUUCCCAGCAGUUACACUGUUCCUUCCCCAAGUCUUUUAAUAGUUUGUUGCAAAUGGACAGAGAAGAGAAGCACAGAGGAGACAAGAGAAAAGGCAGCUUGCCUGAGACAGAAAAAGAAAUGCCUGAUUGUAUUUAUUUUCCCUACAAAAAUCCAGUCAUGGAGUUCCCGUCGGAUCGCAGUGGUUAACGAACCCGACUAGGAACCAUGAAGUUGCGGGUUCGAUCCCUGCCCUUGCUCAGUGAGUUAAUGAUCCAGAGCCAGCAUUGCCGUGAGCUGUGGUGUAGGUUGCAGACACGGCUCGGAUCCUGCGUUGCUGUGGCUCUGGCAUAGGCUGGCAGCUACAGAUCCGAUUAGACCCCUAGCCUGGGAACCUCCAUAUGCCGAGGGAGCAGCCCAAGAAAUGGCCAAAAGACAAAAAAAAAAAAAAAAAAAAAAAAAUCCAGUCAUGAACAAACACAUAAGUGAUCUAAAGCAUGACUUUUGAAAUUACGAUGAUGAUCCACUAUUAGAUAAGGAAAUAAAUUUAAUUAUGAACACUAGUAUAUGUUAAAAUAUACAAAAAUAUAUAUAUUAGAAUAGCGCAUGGCAUAUACUCCCACAUAGUCAGCUUAGAAUUGUUUCAACUUUUUUUAAUUUCAUUUGUGCAUUUACACCUGUGGAAAACAGCUCAUAAAUGUAAAUUUUAUUUCUUACUAUGGGUGUGGUAAAAAGAGUAUGUGAAUGUUACCUAUCUGAGAUAUCUUCAACUCUAAGUUUAAUCAUUCUAAUUUUAAAACUCCUUCAAAAAAUUUAAUGAAAUGAAAUCUGAUUAGACCCCUAGCCUGGGAUCGAAGUUAGGAAGGAAUGAAAAGACUAAAAGGAAAAAAGAUAUGGAUACAAAAAGUGAUUAGUAAGAAAACUCCUAAAUGUCUGCUGGUGGUAAACAUUUUUAAAGUUCCCAUGCAGACUCAGUUAAAUGAGAAGGAAAAUGAUGAGGAAAAGGAAAGGAUUGGAAGCUGGUGGGUGGAUACAGCAAGUGGAAAGAAGCUGAUAGGGACUCUGAGUCACUGUGUUAGAGGGCAAUACUAAAGGAGCCUAUGAUCUAAACCUGUCAGAAGUGUAUAAACAAAUACACAGAAACAUAAGGCAUUACUAUGAAAUGAAUGUUUAUCUCCCCCCGAACUCAUUUGUUGAAAUCAUAAUUUCCAGUGUAAUGGUAUCAGGAAUGAGGGUUUGGAAGGUGAUUAGGUCAUGAGGAUAGUAGAGCCUUCAUGAAUGGGAUCAGUGCCUUUAUAAGAAACCUUGUUGCGCUCUUUCAUUCCUUCUACCAUGUGAAGACACAGCAAGAAGAGGUCCACCUAUGAACCAGCAAGUGGGUCCUCACCAGACAAUAAAUCUGCUGGCACCUUGUUCUUUGAUUUUCCAACCUCCAAAACUGUGAAAAAUAAAUUUCUGUUAUUUGUAAGAUACCUAGUCUACAGUAUUUUUGUUGCCAAAGCCCAAACAGACUAAGGCAUUGACAGUACUGAAGUUUUAGAUGUACAUAUGAAUAAAUAUAUGCUUACCUAUCAGGAAAACUUUACUGAUCCACAAAUCUAACUGACACUUGAAAACUUAUGCUCUUGUUAUGGAUCAUAGAUGACUUCAGGCUCUGUACAACAGAGGUCUCCUCCACAAGUCUUGGAUGAAAAUAGGAAACAAAAAAAAUCAAGAAAACAGACAUAAGCUGAGUUCUCCCUCAACUGAGCUGCUGUAAAAACAGCAAAAACCCAGAAAAAUAAAUAAACAAACAAAAUAGCUUCAAAUAUUCCUGUCCCCAAACAGGAAUGCUAAACCAAAGCCAUCACUGCAAAAAGCAAGUUCAAAAAAUUUACAUCAUAAUAUUUUCACUGUUUAGGGGACAAAUGUUAGCCUACUCAUUAAUCACUCUUUCCAUUAUCUAUUUUAACUCCCAGAAGAAAGUCAUUUUAUAAUACCUCAAUAAAAAGCAUUAAAAUACAAAAAAAAAAUCUAAAACACCUCAAUAUAAAACAAAUCACCUGUUACCACCUUGUUUCACUGAAAUGUAAUAAAAGUGAUCAAUAAUGAAUACACUACUCUAAUAGUAAAAUAAUAUCAAGUAUUAAAAUUCACAUAACAAAUGGAAAUCUGACAUUUGAAAACAAAGAUGAAAAAAUUCCAUUGAAAAUGCAUUCUAAAGCAUUAAGAAAACAUAAAAUUAAAAUACAGAUGUAUCAGUGUGGUAAGUAAAUAUUAUUUGUGAAUUAAAAAUUAAUUUCAAUAGCCUUAUUGCCUGGAGAAAAAGAAAAACAUUUAUUACCUUUAACAAUACACUUUAGUAUUCUUUCACAAACCAUAUCUGACAUAGGUAUAUCCCUUUGUAAAAUCUGCAAAAGUGACAACAAAAUUUCUGAAACAGCUAUCUAAUUUAAGUAAAGAACCUCUUAAUAAUAAUAAAAUACUAAACAUAUUUAUUACCACUCUUGUCUAGAUCCAUUCUUUAUUGGUUUUUGUUACUCCCAAUAACCUGCUAAAGUUUAUUGAGGGCUCAAGCAUACGUACAAAAGGACAACAGUAGUUAGGUAAUAUAAUGUAAAAUAUAAUCAAAAACAUGGAACUGAAAAACAUGAUAAUAUGUCUGAAACCUACUGAGAUUCAAGAGAAAUUACUUAAAACACAUUUCAGCUUCACAGGCUACUAAAACCAACAAAGUAUGAUUUCUAAAGACUAGAGAUGAAUGUGGCAUUGCUCUCUAGAUAGAUUUCCAGAAACUGUUUUAUGCCCCUGUACUGAAUAGAAUUCAUGUUCUGUUUGUUCGUUUGAUAAAGAGAAUGAUUUACUACAUUCUGAUGGAGCAUUUCCUUAUUUUAACUUUCAAUCUUACAUGAAAAGUUACAAACGACAUGUUUCUAAAUUAUAUAAUUUAUGUAUGGAAAAAAAACCUAGAUAUUGUCAACAGCUUCUUGGACGGCAAUAUAGUCAUUUGGUUUUCUGUAUGGUUGAACUAAAAAUUGCCAUACCACUAAAAUAAAGCAUGUCUCUAUUUCUCAUUUUUCCCUUGUAAAAACACAGACCAUUUUUAUAUUACGGAUGUCUCUUUAGAAUGAAAGACAUUCAAAUGUCUUUUAAUUAUUCCAACAUAGGUGUAUCUGAUGAAUGUGUGUUUCUGUAACCCUUAGUAUAGACUAUCAUAUUACUGUGUCAAUACUAUUCCAAGAAAAAGGGCUAUUUCCUUCAUGAUGUACGACAGUAACCAAAGAAAAAGUAACUACAAUCAGUAUUUUGAGUAGUUGUAACUUGUUUUGUUUCUAAGUAUAUACUUUACACCCAAGUCAGUUUUAUGUUUCUUCCACUGCUGGGAUCAGGAUUUACUUUCUUGUUUGGAUAGGACAUAUCCAAUAAAGAUCUCACUGAUAUACUACCAAGAAACCAAGAAGAAAGGAAAAAGACUACCGGAAGAAUUAGGAAACAUGGAAGACUAUCUGUCCAGGAAGAGUGAACGUAAACCCCAGACUUGCUCAGCAGGCCACAUGCAGAAGGAAUGUUUACCAUAGUCUCACUGAAAGGAUAUACCAGUUCUUCUUCUAGUUAUUCUCUAUGGAAUUGCAUAAACAUUGAGAAAUCUAGAAAUAGACAUACACAUGCACAUAUAAAAAUUAUUGUCAGUGUAUAAGUUACUGCUGCCCUGGGACUGCAAUAAUUUAUGUAACAUCUGUUUUCAUAUUUUUCUAAUUUUUUUCCUAAUUAACAUGCAUAUUUAACGCAUAAAUGCUCAGACCACCUCUUUUUUUCUGCUGACUGUGCUUCUUUAUUUUUGAAGUUGUGCACUCUUAGGGAGAAUUCAGGAGAGAUGGAAAGCAAAAUCUUAUUGAAAGCAUUAAUUUUACAAUGUAAAUAACAGUACUAAACCAUUUUUAAGAAAAUACUACAGCUUUAAGAGUUUUCCUACGAACAGUUCAAUCUGCUAACAAGAGUCAUACAGAAAAUUAUGGUCUGAAGACCAGAAAGUAACAUCAAAGCAUAAUUCCAAUAUUAUAUUAAUCGUCCUGAUUUUUUCUAACUUUUUUUGAGAGCUGAGAAAAACUUUUAUAACAUCUGUGAUUUCUUGUCUUAAGAUCUGGUAUCAUUUUAAAAUAUUUAUGCCUUAGGCAACUAACAUAAAUAUAUUGCAUAUAGUAAACAUCAAGAGGUAUGCAACUAACUCUCUUUUUAAAACAGUAUCAAAUACCAUCCAGAUGUGAGUAAAGGGGAAAGUUUCGACUCUAAAAAGUCAUUCAAGUACAAUCAACUUCUGGAAGCUCUUAAUCUGUACUUGGAAAUUGAAAAUUCAAAAUACUACUAGUCUCUAUUUAUUUUAAGUAAAAUUACAAGCCUGUGAAACCAAUGCUCCAACAGCAAAUGUAUUCCCAAAAAAAUAAUGGUUAACCUGCCAACACUGUGACUUCAUAUGUACUUAACCUCAUUUUGGAAUUAAUCAUUUUGUCUUUUAAUUGUCUAGUUAUGUAUUUCAGUCAGCCACUUAAUAUUUCUCAUCUGCUGCCAAGGCUGUUCUAGGCCUUCGUAGACACUGAAAAGUCUCAUGGACUUUACAUUUUAUAUGGGGAAACAGACAGUAUCCAACAAUCAUGCAAAUACAUAAUUGCAAACAGAAAUAAAUGCUAUUAAAAAUAUGGAAGGUACCUUGCAUGAUAUUUUAUUAAAGGAUACUUGAUUUAGCCAAGAGAACAGCAAAGACCUGAAGUAAGACUCUUUGACACGAGAUCUGAAAGGUAUGCCAAAUGUUCCAGUCUGGGCACAUCAAUAGCAAAGGUCUAAAAUCAUCUAUGAGAGAAGCAAAGUCGGGAGAGAGAUGCAGAGAUGCCUUUCACAGCUGGAGUGGGAACAUAUGUGAAACAAAAAGGGGCAGAACAGGAGUUUCCGUCAUGGCUCAGCAGAAACGAAUCUGCCAGCAUCUUUGAGGACAUAGGUUUGAUCCCUGGCCUUGCUCUGUGGGUUAAGGAUACAGCAUUGUUGUGAGCUGUGGUGUAGGUCACAAAUGCGGCUCAAAUUUGGCACUGCUACGACUGGUGUAGGCUGGCAGCCGUAGCUUCAAUUAGACCCCUAGCCUGGGAACCUUCAUAUGCCUCGGGUGCGGCAUAUGAAGACCAAAAAAAAAAAAAAAAAAAAA
rnacentral:lncRNA from 1 species